GGACCAGUAAGGUCACAUGUGGCUUCCUACCUGGUGCUGAACACCAGCCAGCUCCCUCCUUUCUGGGUGUGCGCUUCAGAAUGGCAAGGAGACCUUAAACCUGCUUCUGCAGCACUUUGGACUGAACUAUCUUCUGUUGCCUCAAUCUCUGUUCCAGGACAGGGAGAGAAGGCCCACAGUCUUUGUCUGCUCUGUCACUAAGCAAUUUUCUUCCUCUCAGUGCUCGUGGCUGGACGAUGGUAACAUCUUGAGACUCCUGUUAUGGCUCAGUAAGAAGCAUGAAGACUCCGUUAGACGUUGAACUCAAGCCUCUGUUUUGGACCGAACUUCGAGAACUUUUAUAAAGUGGAACAUUCUGUCUUCCAUCAGUUUCUGUUUCCAUGGCACACACAUCUCUCUAGGCACUUCCUAGGGAGAAUGAAUAUGUAGGGUAGGAUUCCAGAAUUUCUGCUCCCCAGGCAAUGAUAUUAAUAUGAUAAUUAAUAGUACCAAACACUUUAAGAAGACUGGGUUAAUUAAUAGAGGAAUUCCAUCAGACUUUUAAAGGAGAUCGAUGACAUAAAUAGUAAGGGGCCGGUUUUGUCAUGAGUUUCCUUUUCCUCAAGCAUCGUGUCAGGGUUUGGUCUUACUCAAAAAACCUUUCCUACCCCUCGACCAAAGAAAAUCUCUGCAAUAUAGCUCAGGAAAUUUGAGCAUUGAAGGGAUAUUCAUAAAUACUUUAAAACUGUCCUUGAUUUUUGUUACUGAAUUUUGAAAAAUGUGAAUUAAAAACACCGCGCUCAACUAAACUCACAUUAUUAUGAGAAUGAAAUGCAACAAGAGGUCAGAAAAUGCUUUGAAAACUGAGCAACAAUACAGAUAAGACUUUUAAAACAAAGAACAUGUUGCAUUAUGGAACCUAAGAUGCCAUAAAGCUAACAAACUAUCAUGGGCGUAUGAAAGGAAAUAUGGAGAAUUCAUUCCACCUGCUCAAAGAGGAACAUUUUCUUUUUUCCCUCUCUCUCUCCGUGCUUUCUGCUUUUCAUGAGUGUGUGUGUGCGUGUGUGUGUGUGUGUGUGUGUGUGUGUGUGUGUUUAGGGCCACACCUGCAACAUAUGGAAGUUCCCAGGCUAGGGGUUGAACCCAAGCUGCAGCUGCCGGCCACAGCCACAGCCACAGCCACACCAGAUCCGAGCUGUGUCUGUGACCUACACCACAGCUCACGGCAACACUGGAUCCUUAGCCCAACACUGGAUCCUUAGCCCAAUGAGUGAGGCCAGGGAUGGAACCUGCGUCCUCACGGACACUAGUGGGGUUCAUUACCACUGAGCCACAGCAGGAACUCCCAAAGAGGAAUAUUUCUGCUUCUUAGUCAUCCUUCUCUGCAAUCCCACUAUUGGACUAGUCAUGUCUAUUAAAUUCUGCCACCGAGGAAAUUUUUUAAUUAUUUGGAACAAGAAUCUUUAAACAGGUACCAAGCAUCAAUGGCUCCAAAUUGUUUCAUUCUUGAUACACUUUGUUUCUGCUAAAGUGGGGAGGAGAUGGAGACGAAAUCGAAUAAAGAACAAGAAAUUCCAGAGCUUAAACCGGGUGGCUAGGUGGCAGAGGCUGUCGGUUUCUUUAAAGAAAUACCUUCCUCGGAAAGUCAGGGAGGAGAAUCAAUUUUUACUCUCACUAUCAAGUCCCAAGUCCAAAUAAUACAUCCGCUGGACACUAGCUGGGUCAGAAAAAGAUGUUCUCUGCAGCUAAGCUCUUAUUCUAGUGAGGAAAUGUUUUGUGUGCACAUUGUUAUGUCCUCAUUCAUCCAGUGGGAACGUCACAAAUGUUCAUGAAUCUGGUUUGACAUGGUCGCACUGCCCUAGACGAGCCAUAAUGCUGUUGAAUUUAAAACAUCAUCAACGUAAGACAAAGUGGUCCAUUCUUCACGUGCCCUGAUGCCCUAGUGAACUCAUUAUCAGCUAUGGCUGGCACUGCGUCCCCCUAGUUCAUAUGUUGAAGCUUUACCCCUCACGGUGAUUGGAUUUGAAGAUGGGGCCUCUUCAGGGGUCAUUAAGGCUAAAGGAGGUCAUGAGGCUAGGAACCUGAGCCAAUGGGAUUGGGGUCCUUUUAAGAAGAGGACGAUACACCAGAACACUCUCCCUCUUCCUUCCUCCCUUCCUCUCUCUCUCCAUGUGUAGGCACAGAGGAAAGACCAUGUGAGGACCUGUGAGGAGUGGCCACCUGCACGACAGAGAGAGGGGCCUCACCGGAAACCAACCCUGCUGGCCCCUCGACUUGGAAAUAAACACCUGCUGUUUAAGUCCUGUGCCCUGGGGUAUCUUGCGAUGGGAGUCCUUCCUGAUGAAGACACUGUCCCUUGCUUAGGUGCAUCAUCAGCCUCGUUAUGGACCUUGGGGAGAAUAAGAGUAGCCCAGCAACAAGGAAGCAGGGGCUUCACUGCAGGAAGAAGUGAUGGAAAGCGUGGGACGCUCCAAGCACUGAUGCAAAGAAUGGCGAUUGAUGAAAAUGAAGAAGAACAGGAGUUCCUGCUGUGGCACAACAGGAUAGGCAGCCUCUUGGGAGUGCUGGAACGCAGGUUCGAUCCCCAGCCCAGGACCACGGGUUAAGGAUCCAGCGUUGCAGCUGUGGCUUAGGUUGCGACUGAGGCUUGGAUAUGAUCCCUGGCCCUGGAGCUCCAUAUGCCGCGGGGCAGCCAAAAUGAAAAAAAAAAGAAGAGUUACGGUUAAAUUAUUUUCGUUCUAUACUUAGAGAACCACAAAGGGUAAGACGGGAUUACUGAUAUUUUUCUCUCACUUUAUUGAAUCUGGGGCGAUAUUUUUUCCUGCAGGGAUCCCAGGGCAUAUCAUAUUUUCCCUCUUCUCUUCCUGUGCUUAGAGCUUCCCCACUCCAAUUUUACCUUGCUAUCUUCUUGUAUUUCAGAAUUUUACUUAGUUACCAAUUCCUCUACAGGCCUCUUUGUCACUGAAACUUACUGUUUAAGGCUUAUUUUAAAGCCGCAAUAAACAAUCAGAGACUGACUCUUAAAGGGCCCCCAUGCUUGUUAACUAGGCAACAAUGAAAAUCAUUUUACUUGUAUUCAUUUAUCUUCGAUUUCUGACAGUUUUCCGGCAUUCAUCCAUUCCUCAUUCUGUUAUCCAAUGAGACUGAUUUCUAUUACCUGUGAAUAAACCGUGACACCGGAGUUCUUAAAACCCGACCCUGGCUUUCCGUGGAACGAAACCCUUUCAUAGACUGGCUAUUGUUUACCUUUUCAACCUCUCAGUAGCUUCCCUUUGUCAAAGGGAACCUGAGCCAGACAUCACCUUAAAGCCGCAAAGAUAGAUGUUAUUCAAAAAACGAUUACAAUAGGAGAAAAGAGACUUCGGGACAGAACUGAGCUCAAUUGUUGAAUACAAGAAGGACAAGUGGUGAUGUGCAGCCGCGAGUCAGGGUAGAGAGGGAGACGGUUGCUGGGUGGAAAAUUGCUAAGGGGGACACGGCAAGCGCAGAGCUAUUCCUGCUGAGCGGAUCUUACUGAAGGCCCGCCACGGUGACCAGACAUCCAGGGUGGGAGAUUCCUGAGACCCAGCAAGGACAGGGCCAAGGUCAAGACCUAGUCAGGUAAAGGGCUCAGAGCAGCUGGACUAAAGUUGGGUUAAAGAGAGAGUCUCUUUGUCAUCUUUUACCUGUGUGGUUUUUUUUUUUUUUUUUUUUUUUCUUUCUUUCUUUUUAGGCCACACCCACGGCAUAUGGAAGUUCCCAGGCUAGGGGUCAAAGUGGAGCUGCAGAUAUCAGCCUACGUCACAGCCACAGCAACUCGGGGUCUGAGCCUCGUCUGUGACCUACACUACAGCUCAUGGCAACACCAGAUCCUUAACCCCGUGAGCGAGGCCAGGGAUCGAACCUGCAUCCUCAUGGAUACUAAUCAGGUUCAUUACUGCGAAGCCACAGUGGGAACUCGAAUAUCACCUUCCGCCUGUGGAAACCUACAUUUCAGUUACAUCAUUCUUCUUCCAGUAGAACUAAUGGCUCAUGCUCCCUCUGCUUCCAGACCUUGACCCCUAAUGACCUUUUGGCUGGGCCCAUGUUCCUCUCCUUCCCUCUUCAUCUGGAUAUUCCUCAGCUCUCAGGUUAGACACAGUAGCCUCAGGAUUUUCUCUGAUGCCUCCAGGUCUUGGCCAGCAGCCUCGUUAAGAGCAGCCACACUCCGCCAGCUAGAGCGCAUCUCACGCUUGUGGUCAUGACCCGUUCUCACGAAGCCACCACUCCUUGAAUGCAGGGGUCCUAUCUGUCUUGUUCUCCACUCUGUUCCUGGCACCCCACACCACGCCUGGCUCACAGGCGGGGUUCAACCCGUAUCUGUCAAAUAUACGGAGGGUAAUGAUCACAACUUUUAUUCUAAAUUCCCAUGCGGGUGACCAAACAUUCAGUAGCCGGUCCUGCUUUGGGGGUUCAGAAAGGCCUCUCUUAGGCACCGGAGGCUCAAAGUUCCCGGGGAGAGAUUACAGGCUGAGGAGAGGGCCAGUUUCACGACUCAGGGAGCUGGGAGGACAGUCCUUGUUGGAUGAUCUGGGGGAGAUCCCUUCAAUCUGCUAAAUAGAGUGAUUUUUCUUUGCACACCAAGAACUACUCCCGCUUAUGGCCUCAUGCCAGGAAGACGAGAUGGGGAAAAGGAAAGAAGCAGAUCUUUGGGGGAUGACUGGACCCAGAUUCUGAAGUGACACUAAUUCCAGGAGACCCAAAAUGUCACUGUGGCCCAGCAGUCAGAGAAAGGGGCUUACGGAGGCCAGGUGACAAAGGUGUUUGCUCAGGUCCUUCUCACAGUGGACCCAGUGGGUCCCUGAACCUCCCCCCCCCCAACCCCGGGGUUAUUUUCCCAAGCCUGUGAUGCAGAAUCGGACUAGAGAGCCCCCGAAGCUGGCGGAAUCCCCACACUGAUCCUGCGAGAAGCUCUCGGGUUCCCCCGUUGCAGAAGGGACACUCCUGCGGGGAGAGGACCCCUUUCUGCAGGAGGAAGUCCAAUGGCCACCUGCCGUUAUUGCCUCUAAGGGGCUGGUAAAUGAAGGAUAAAUAUAAAGAUUAAUAGUUGGUUGAAAUUAAAAUAUCCUCUUCCUUCAUCUGUAACUUCCCAUAAUGCCAUAU
rnacentral:lncRNA from 1 species